rnacentral:rRNA from 1 species
UACGUAGGGGCCUAGCGUUGUCCGGAAUCAUUGGGCGUAAAGAGCUCGUAGGCGGUUCGGCAAGUCACGUGUGAAAUCUCCACGCUUAACGUGGAGGCGCCACGUGAAACUGCCGUGACUCGAGUCCGGUAGGGGAGUGUGGAAUUCCCGGUGUAGCGGUGAAAUGCGCAGAUAUCGGGAGGAACACCAGUAGCGAAGGCGGGUCUCUGGGCCAUAACUGACGCUGAGGAGCGAAAGCGUGGGGAGCGAACAGG